rnacentral:rRNA from 1 species
GACGAACGCUGGCGGCGUGCUUAACACAUGCCAGUCGAACGGAAAGGCCCUGCUUGCAGGGUACUCGAGUGGCGAACGGGUGAGUAACACGUGGGUGAUCUGCCCUGCACUUCGGGAUAAGCCUGGGAAACUGGGUCUAAUACCGGAUAGGAGCCAUUUUUAGUGUGAUGGUUGGAAAGUUUUUUCGGUGUAGGAUGAGCUCGCGGCCUAUCAGCUUGUUGGUGGGGUAAUGGCCUACCAAGGCGGCGACGGGUAGCCGGCCUGAGAGGGUGGACGGCCACAUUGGGACUGAGAUACGGCCCAGACUCCUACGGGAGGCAGCAGUGGGGAAUAUUGCGCAAUGGGCGCAAGCCUGAUGCAGCGACGCCGCGUGGGGGAUGACGGCCUUCGGGUUGUAAACUCCUUUCGCUAGGGACGAAGCUUUUUGUGACGGUACCUAGAGAAGAAGCACCGGCUAACUACGUG